rnacentral:lncRNA from 13 species
ACAAGAUUGAAAACCUAACUUAGGAGUAUGUACCUGUAAUAAUAACUGAGACAUGACCAGUCCUAGCAGCCAUACUUCAGUCGUAUACUGCUGAGGUGUUCAAACUGUGUCUAGAUAAGUUAAAUUCAGAGCUGUAACCAAUCCAACUGUUUCUGUAAUUCAUUUUUAUUUUUAUAAAUCAUUCCCUUUUGUCUAUAAAUUUGUUUUACCACAAGGCAUCCCUUGAGUCUCUCUGAAUCUGUUGUAAUUCUGGGGUCAACUCAAUUCAUGAAUUGUUCAUUGCUCAAUUAAACCUAUAAAUUUAAUUCUGCUAAGUUUUCCUUUAUUAGAUGGUGUCAGAAGUGGGAUCCAAAGUAGAGCUUCUAAUGAUCCCCAGGAAUGCUGAGUGACCAAAUGAGAUACCUGAUGGAGUCACUUGUGUCCACUUUCAGGACAGCUGAGGAUUUGUGGGUUGGCACUUUGACAUGUAUCAUGAAGGCCAUAAAAAUUGGUUCCCAAGAAAGAAACAGGAACAUCGUAGGGGGCAGAAGAAGAAAGAUGCUCAUUUUCCUGAGGAAGCAGGAUAGAAGACUCUCUUUACUUCACCUUGUAUGCAUAAAGAACAUAAAGGAAGAUGUGGCUAAACUGGUUAUCUUUUGGAGAUAGUUACUGAUAUCUGAGGACAUUGUUCAUAAUACUUGCCAGAGGUUGACUCUAGAGAUGGUGGUCAAGUGUUUCAGAAAAAGUAUCCAUAUAGAGUAUAUAAAAAUAUGGUCAUGUAAGGUUUAGACUUGGG